GUGGGGGAAGUGCCUACAUAGGCACAAGCUAUCGGCCAAGUGAAGGCUGGGAGGGACCCUAUAUGCUGGGUACGGGAGGCGAGGGGGUAAGGGAAGGCAGGGGGCGAUUUAAGCUUUGUGGGAGGAGGGGAGGUACAGUGUGCCCUGGGGUUUGGUGGGAGGUGGGACUGGCCACGGCCAGUUGGCGCGCCAGAGACACGGUUACAUAAAUGUUCCCUGGCGCCGCCGCGAGGCCGCUGGUAGCAGCAAGCAGUGCAUGGCGCGGGCUGAGCGUGAUUGCCUCAUCUUAUCAGGGAACACAACGUCCCAUAUGCUCUUGCCCAAGCCACAGGCUUGGGCGGGAACAGCAUGUUCUCAGUGAAGCCGGCCGGAGGAGGGGAAGCGACCGCAGAGGCUCUCUCCCCGCCGCCAAAGCCCUCACCGGGAUUGAAUGCGCACUGUCCCGCAGCAGAAGGACACACAAGUACUGCUGGCUUCCCAGAGCGUUCUAGCUCAGAGCCUGAGCUGGGUCCUAGGCUGCUACUAAGGGUCCUCUGGUCCAAAGGGCAUUCUCCCAAUACUUGCACUAACCAGAUAGCUAAGCCUCACUGCCACUAGCUCCUCCCCAGGUGGGUGGGCGGCUCUUGGCUCCAGCAGCACCUGCACAAACCACAGUGCCUUCCUUGCUGCUCUGUGUGAGCCUGCCGCUCAGGAGUAGCAAGUGUUUUUAGAGGAUUUUCUGCUCUCCCACCUCUACUUCUUGUAUGCAGUGAUAGCGGUGGGGCAGAGCAGCCACCUGCUUAAUCCUGGUUUAGGUUUACUGCCCAAAGUCCAGCAUCCAACUGGAAGCCUACCCUGCUCUCUUAUUGUGGAGGGAGAAGAGAGGGCCUGGAGCUCUGACUAGGAGGUCCUGAAAAUGCAGAUAGAUCCAUCCAUCUUAUGCAGUAUCCCAGACUCUAAGAUCAGCCCUCUGUAGGCAUAAAGAAUCUAUGUGCGAGUCGGGAGGCAAGGCAGAGUGGGUACAUCUGGCUGGUGUCUUGAUCACUACAAAUGCUAGUGACCAAGACAGAGGAUCUGCAGAUGACUUGUCUCCCCCACCCAGGGACCAGGUAAGAGACCUAUGCCCUAUGCCCCAGGAGGAGAAGCAGGCUAGUGGCAGAGCCAAAGUCAUAGGCAUGAUCCCUGACUCAGUCUGCAUCAGGAGAGAUGCACACAUCAAGGAAGCAGUCUCCUCUGACCCCAUACUGCUGCUAAUGCCAUCUUACCUUUCUCAGUCAUUGGGGGGAAGGGGGUAUGUGAGGGGACUCCUGCAGGACACAAAGAUGUAUGCCUGAGCAAACUGGUAAUGCAUGGAACAUUGAGAACCGCUGGCUACAGAUGCUGUGGGAGCCAGUGCCACUGAUCUCAGCCAAGAGGCUAAGAAGUGAUGAGCGCGCACACACACGAGCCAUCAGGACGCAGAAGUAAGACUGCUAUUUAACCUCAGAAUCCACUUCGGACUGCUAUGUGUCUUGAAAAUUUCAGCAAUGGAUGCAAGGAUAUUUCCUGAGGUCAUGGAAACUGGAAAAGCCAGUGGAAACCAGGCAGACACAGUUCAUAAGGAGAAUACAGUGGAUCUCUCAAACAACCCCAGACAUCCCCCUACCACGAUGUCAAGGCAAAGGAGUCCACUGAAUUGUAUUCACCAGAUGGUCAGGCUACAGGGACACAGCCAUUCUGUCCCUCUGCUCAGGACAACUGUGAAAAGCUCCUCUCUGGGAGACUGGCAACAUUAGAAAGAUUAUAAACGUGGCCACUGAGACUGUAGCUCAGUACUGGCCCAUUACUGGAGAAGACCAGGCCCACUGUUGCAUUUUAAACACUGCAUAUCCUUCAACCCUCUAAACCUUUCAGUGCCUAGCCUACACAUGUGUGCACACCUGCACACUUACAAAAUGCACUCACACCCGACUGAUCAGCAGAGCUGAAGCCCAGAAAUAAGAAGCAUUUUUUUCAAUAGAUGGUUAAGGAAACUGUGGAACAUGUGUACCACAGAAAGUGGGUGUUCUUGGUGGACUGCUAUAGACAGAAGUGAGGAAGACCAAGUCCAGAAGAAAUGCUUGGACCGUUUGGAUAAACAGCAUGGGUUGCACAAGCACCUGCCUGUCUGUUCAGAAGUGAGAAUGGGCUCCCUCCAGCAGACAGAAGAAAAGACUGGAGAACAACUUAACCCAAGCCAAGCUCCCCAACUCCUUAAAUAAUCCAUACGGCAACUAGAAAAUGAUCUAGUCAUGAAGGGUUUGGCAAGAUGGAACAGCAGGUAAAAGCGCUUACCACGCCAGCCUGACAACAAGAAUCAGGUUCUUGGACCCCCCACAUUCAAAGGAGAGCACAGAGGAAGCAGCCCCCACCCCCAGCUGUGUCACGAACGCUGCUGUGUGCAUGCGUAUAUGCGUAUACAGCACACAAUAAUAAAAAAAAAAAUAGAAAAUGAGACUCAUGGGUGUUGU
rnacentral:lncRNA from 1 species